UCUGGAAACCGGAGCUAAUACCGGAUAAUAUUUUGAACCGCAUGGUUCAAAAGUGAAAGACGGUCUUGCUGUCACUUAUAGAUGGAUCCGCGCUGCAUUAGCUAGUUGGUAAGGUAACGGCUUACCAAGGCAACGAUGCAUAGCCGACCUGAGAGGGUGAUCGGCCACACUGGAACUGAGACACGGUCCAG
rnacentral:rRNA from 1 species